GUCAGUUUGAAGAGCAAGAGACUGAGGUAAGGUCCCAAUUGCAGUCCUGCUGGGUUAUCUCCCAGUCUUGGGAUAGGAUGAACUACAAGUCAAGGCCUGGAUGGCUUUGAGACCAGAAAGGAACCCAGAGUAACAUAAUAAAAUUGGCAGUCUUUUUCCACUCCCUGCUUGCAGAGGCUGUACAUUUUUACUUUGCUAUGCAGUUACAACUUAUUUUGUCUCUUUUGCAUGUUUUUUAAGCAAUGUCUUUGUUCUUAGUUCCAGUAACAAACGCACGCGCACAUACACAUCAUGCUCGAGUGCAUACACGCACAUAUCUUCGGGUAUCUAAGAUUUGACAGGACUUUUUGAUCUAGUAUGUGAGGUUUUAGAGGAGUUUCUGCUCCCUUGAGAUCAAAGAAAGGAAAUCCCUCUGUAGCACCUGACUUCCAGUUCUACCUGGAUUCAAACACCUCCUCCUUACUCUGAGAACCUCAGGAGCUGUAUAUGUCCCCUGAAAAUAGGAUCCCUCCUUAAUAUUAUAAAUCUCCAGAGUGUUCCCGUUAUCCCCAUUAGCAUUAGUUCAGCUUUCCUACCAAUGCUAAUUUUACUCACUUUGAUUUGUUCACAUCAGACUGUACUUAGAUUGUCAGUGAGAACGUCACAAAAGAGAUUCUGAACGUUCCAGUGUAUACACGCAAGAUAUCCCCCCCGUGUUAGAGCCAGCAGGAUUGUCCUCUUAAAACUCUCAUCUUAGGCGGCCUGAUUCUUCCAUACUGUUCAACUCAUACCACAAGUGUCAGCCAGUCACCACAGGAGAUUGGCAGCAGCACCAACCUAGCUGUCUGUUUUGUCUCUGGUGAUAGCUGUGUAAUCGCUGUCCUGUAUUUUUCCAAGACUCACAGCCUUUUACAAUUUAAGUAUUGAAUGUUUAAAAUCAGGUAUUAAGAAAGUGUUUUACCUAGGUUAUUUUAUUUCAUUCUUACUACAGCCCAUUUAAGGUGGAAACGCUCUUACUACCUCCAGUUUACUCACUACGGCAUGGGAUGAUUAACCUCUCUAGGGUUCGUUCCACUGUUGGAAUCCCAAGCCCAGGCAGGCUAAAGUCAGAACACAUCUGUAGUCUCAGCACUCUACUGUACCGCCUUCCCGUGAUGGUUCUGUCUCAGCACCCUCUGACUCCGACAUUACCUCACUUCACCUAUUCAGCUAGGUAGUAAAGCUAGUGUACUCCUUACAAAAGAGAUCCCUCUGCAUAGUUCAGAGCCACAUUUCCUGUUCUAAGACUCAGCUAAUUCAUGAAUGAAUACACGUUUUCACUUCUCCCUCCCGUUCAUGGUGGGGGAGAGAUUUAACUUGGAGCAGGUCUGAAGGAAGCUGGCAGAUGGCCCUUCCAGGCCUCUUUCUACUGUGUUUGCUUAAAGUGAGCACAGCCUUAAGCACUAUUUCUCCUCUUAACACUCUCACCACAGUGACCUCAACCAUGGAUCCUGUGAAUUAGGCUCUUGAACUCUGUCUCGUUGAAUUGUGUUUCUUCUCCAUUUCCCCAGAUUCCAACCACCCUCGCCCCCUGGCAAACACCCCUUCUUCAGUGGAGCAGACCUCCCGUCUGGGCCAGUGUGGACUCAGAUAGAAGCCCAACAAUAGUAACAAAAACCAAGUUUGAUUUGCUACAGUGCAUAACCAGUCACAAGAAUGUCAGUUGACAGAAGAACUCUGCCUCCAAGCACACUUUCUAAAUAGUUGACCAAGUUUUAUUAAAUAAAUCCUCCUGGGAUUCUGGUUGAAAUUUUACUGGUUGGAAUUUACUGAUUUCCAGGGAGAGAAUUAGUACAUUUACAAUAAUAAGUCUCCUCACCCAGAAACAGAAUGCCACAGCUGUGUUCUCAGAGGCCUCCAGGGAGACCUUGUCUCUUGGGCUACCCCCCGGAGCCCCUCAUCUUCCCUUGGCUGGCACCCUGAGCCCCCACACCCUUGUAGUGCCUCAUCCAAAGACUCCAGUGGAUGAAAUUCUGAAUUAUCUUUCUAAGCCCAAAAAACUCCAGAGAGAUUUCCUUCCCCCAUCCCUGCUUUCUUUUCUCCUGCACUUUUACGUUGUUCUCAGCAUCUCCCUUUUCAUCACCUGUGAAGUCCAGUACUUCUAAGCUGGAGAAGGUCAGCGCAGUGUCUCCAGUCUAAGCUUCCCUAAGAACCCAAUGACUUGAAGCACAGCUCUUCCCUCUGACCUUCCCUCUUCACACUGUCCUAUGUCAUGUCUGAGCUCCGUCAAGAAGAGAUGGGAUCCUGAGAGAAGAGUGCUCACCGGGUGUUUAAGGGGAGUAAACACUGUGACUCUGUGUGGUGCCUGCCCUAAAGGCAAGAGCUCGUGAGCCUAGCUUUGCCAGCAGGUGCCAGCCUGUGGCUGAACCAGCCUGAGUGCCACAGUUCCUAAGAAUUCCUCGCUAUUUUUGAUCCCUAAAUCUGUCUCUACAACAAAAUGUUCCAUCUGGCUAACUACCAAAGGCCCUGGGGUGAAGAAACAAGGCCCUAGACCCUCUACAUAAAUUGUCUUUAGGAGAACAGCCAUUGUCUUAUUGCCAGUGUGAUUACUAAAAGGGCCAAAACCAAAGUUGUGUGGGCUUUCAUACCAGGUGCAACCAGCAGGUAAUAGGAAACCGGAGCCCAGCACAAGCCAGAGUGACCCCAGAAGACAUGGAUGGGCUUGAAGAACAGGUACAAUGACAGUGCAAAAGCACAGGCCAUUUGCCAAGGCCAUAGAGUCCAAACACCCAGACAUCUUUUGCCUAGCCGUGUUCCUCUCUGUGUCUGCACGUUUUUGGCCCUCAUCUGCUAGGCUCACUGGGGACCAAGUCAGCACAGGUUUCCUCCCUACCACCCCACACGGUCAUGAGGCAUCUUCAUCUGCUGCUCAUCUAGGGGAUAUAAUUUAAAAGUGAGCACUGGAAAUCACAACAGUAAUUAUAAAACUGCCCUGUCAUCGAAAUGUUUCAUUAGACAUUUAUGUUUUGAAAGGCAGAGAAUGAAACAAGGUGGCACUGGUAAGGACACAUUGGUGGCUGAGGUGGGGUUACAAAUUGAAACCAGUGUGGGCAACAUAGCAAGGCCCUUUUUUGUUGUUUUGUUUUUGUUUUUGUUUAUUGAGACAGGGUUUCCUGCGAGACCCUUUCUAAAUAAAUAAAUAACCAAACAUAUUUUUAAAGGCAGAAGGGACCAUUCCACACCAGAAUGAUCCAGUGCAGAGACAGGAAAUAUUCUGAAAGGGCUGAAAAGUUCCGCUAACACAAACAUUUUAUUCCUUGAGAUCCCCUCAUCCAGAAGUAACUCACUGCAAAGAUCCUUCCCAGCCAGUCCUCACCCAGCCCCCAAGUUGCUCAAGGCCCAGCCAGCCACCCAGUUUUACAUGUCUAAAUCUGAAAUCAAAGUCCCCGGCAGGGAAAGGGAUUGUCACAAGUAAUUGCAACAUCCCACAAGAAUUUGUUUGGGAGUUAAAGGGAGCCAAACCUGGGCCUUCUCCAAAGCUUACAAGUCUGAGCUUUUAGAGAGCACGUUUGAUCCUUCUAGAGUGUUAAAUGUAACUGUCUGUCUUGGGCCUGCCUAGAAGCUGGAGGGGACUCUGCAAAGCCUCAGCUGACCCACCGUGGUAACAGAUGGUACUUCAUUGGGUUCCCAGCCAGAGCUUUCCUGUGGACUGCCCUGACAGAUGUGACAAGAUCAAGCAGCAUUGCUGGCUGUCUACCCUGUGUCCUCCAGGGCUGCCACACCUGACAAAAGUCUCACAGGUUGCCCUGACUUUGAGUGCUGAAUGGCACAAACAUUCCAUGCUCCAAGCUGCCUUUAUGGGUGUUACUUCUGAAAUGCCAGCUCCUGACUCUUCUGGGGCCUCCAUACCCCACCCCCAUGGAAGUGACAACAUAGCCAGAAGUGUCCUCCAGGCUUGACCUGUCUGGGUCUACCAUAGGGUCAGGUUGCAGUGGUUAGUUACCAUUAAGCAGCCCCAGCCCCAGGCAUGGGCAGGCCUUUCUGUAAGCCAAGAUCAAGUAAAUAGACAUGCCACCAAAAUAAGACUCAGUGGUCAGUCUGUCUCCAGGUGCCAGAAGGAUGACCUUUGUAAGUCAGAGAACAGCAUGAGUAGCCUCAGACCUUCCCCCCACAGGUUUGGGCGCGCAGACACAGUGAAGCCUGCAAGUGUCAUUCCAGGUUUGUUGUCUGUACAGAAGUCAGACUGGGUGGGAUGGGACCUGUGGGGAAAGAAUGGGUGAAGUGAGGGCAGAAACUGACUGAUCCAGGUUGUCAGCUUUGUCAGCUCUAAGGGUCUAAGGGUCAGAAAUUCCCGCGCCCCCUGCUGGUCCCCUGGUCAGACUUUUUGGCUUCCCUCCCCAGGAGGCUUCCUGUCUUCCUUUCUUGCUGCCCUGUCCUGGAAUGGCUGCCUCAUGGUUUGCAGCGGAUUUUUUUUUUCUUUUUUUUUUUUUUUUUUUUUCUUUUUGCCUUUGAACCUAAUGGGGAGCU